UACAGUGAUCCGGUUAUGAUGGAUUUCUCAAGUAAUGAUCUCGUAGCUUGGUCACGAUAUC
rnacentral:pre_miRNA from 1 species